rnacentral:rRNA from 1 species
AGAGGCUCAAGUUGUGAGAUAUCGGCGUAAAGGGUGGUUAAGGAAAACUCAAACUAAAGCUAAAUACUGUCAAGGCUGUUAUACGCACCCGAAAGUAAGAAGAUCAACCACGAAAGUAGCUUUAUACUACCUGAACCCACGAAAGCUAAGAUACAAACUGGGAUUAGAUACCCCACUAUGCUUAGCCCUAAACAUUGAGGGGGGUAUUACCUCCCCCUCCGCCCGGGAACUACAAGCAUGA